UUCCACUGUGCCUUCACCCCUUCCGCCCCAAGUCUCCUGUCUCUGACAGCAGCAGCAGCCAGCCUGUACAGACCAGAGCCAGUCCGUUCUCUGCUAUUCAGCCCCUUGGAAGCUCCAGCCCAGAGCCACAAGAGAAGCUUCUAAGGCGUCACGCAGGGGGUGAAGUUUCUUCUCUUCCCUCCCAGCUGCAAAGAGCAAUUAAUCCUGCUGGAGGCUGAGACCCAGAUCCCCUGAACCUCCGUUAUGGCUUCAGGUUGGAUCGCAGCUGCGUUAACAGCCUCGGUGCUAAGUGCCCUGGGCAGAGCGGAGAUCAAUCAGCCCCUCUCCGCAGAGGCGGUGGAGGGAGAGAAAUUGACCCUCUCUUGCAAUCACCCUAAUGUGACCACCGAGAAGAUAAUGUGGUACCGCCACGUCCCCAGUCAGGCGCCGCGGCUUUUGGCAGGUGGAUUCAGGGGCGAAACUCCCGGCCCCGAAGCGGGCGGCACUUUAUACAUCGCUCAGGACAAAGCUUCCAGUGUCUUUGAGUUCCGCAGGGUGCGGCUGGCGGACGCAGCGGUGUAUUACUGUGCUCUGAGCGACACAGCGUGACAGCCAGAGGCGGCCCCCACGCAGUAUCCCACCCCAGCACAGAACAGAGGACAGCAGCGUCUCUUGGCUGGGCGAGCUAAGGAGAGAGAGUUUCUUCCGUAUGGUGAAGCAUGAAAAAAGAUCCGCUCCUUUCAGGGUCUAAGCAGAGGGGAGGGGAUUACAACUUCUUUCUUGUCCAGUGAACAAAGAGAAACACCAGCUGUCUGCAAUUUCUGUCUUUCAGACACAGCCAACUUUCUGUCUGAAGUGAUUGGUUUUUUUUUAAAAUAAAACCUUCCCAUCACCAUA